ACUUUUGAGGAGUCUGAAUUAGAGCUAGAGUCUGGCUACAUAGCAAGGAGUCGAGGUGAUUUAUGAACCUAGAAUAAGGAACUAGGUUUCCUCUAGAAGUUUUAAAUAUCUUGUGAAGAAUGCCUUUGAAGUUUUCUUGUUUCCUGAAUUUUUUGUAUAAGGUGUCUAAGCAUUGAAGUUGAUUAGAUACGAUGAACUUAUUGUGAAUAUUUUUAGC
rnacentral:misc_RNA from 1 species